GACGAACGCUGGCGGCGUGCUUAACACAUGCAAGUCGAACGGAAAGGCCCUGCUUUUGUGGGUUGCUCGGGUGGCGAACUGGUGAGUAACACGUGAGUAACCUUCCCUUGACUUUGGGAUAACUUCAGGAAACUGUGUCUAAUACCGGAUAGGAGCUCCUGCUUCAUGGUGGGGUUUGGAAAGUUUCGUCUGUUGGGGAUGGACUCGCGGCUUAUCAGCUUGUUGUUGGGGUAGUGGCUUACCAAGGCUUUGACGGGUAGCCGGCCUGAGAGGGUGAACGGCGACAUUGGGAAUGAGAUACGGCCCAGAAUCGUACGGGAGGCAGCAGUGGGGAAUAUUGCAGAAUGGGCAGAAGCCAGAUGCAGCAAAGAAGAGUGCGAGAUGACGGCCUUCGGGAGGUAAACAGCUUUCGCCUGUGAAGAAGAGUGAGUGACGGAAAUGGGUAAAGAAGCACCGGCUAACUAAGUG
rnacentral:rRNA from 1 species